rnacentral:rRNA from 1 species
GAUUAAGCCAUGCAUGUGUAAGUGUAAAUAUACUAGUUUGGAACUGCGAAUGGCUCAUUAUAUCAGUUAUAGUUUAUUUGGUGAAGUGUACUACUUGGAUAACCGUAGUAAUUCUAGGGCUAAUACAUGAGAAAGUCCUCUGGUGAGGUGUGUUUAUUAGAAUGAAAACCAUAUGCUUCGGCAUGAUAGUGAGUAAUAGUAACCUAUCGUAUCGCAUGCUUAAUGUAGCGAUGAGUCUUUCAAGUUUCUGCCCUAUCAGCUUUCGAUGGUAGCAUAUGGGUCUACCAUG